rnacentral:tRNA from 4 species
GAGAUGUUAGUAAAAUAUUAUACUGCCUUGUCAAGGCAGAGUCGCGGGCGAAACCCCCGCACACCUUA